UUAUAAAAAGAAUAUCUCUUGAAGGAUAAUUGAGAAGAAAAACCCUUAUUUGAUUCGAAUUAAAAUCAAUAAAAGUUAAAGAAAACCAAUGAACCAAACAAUUUUAAGUUUUCAUUUGAUCAUUUUCCGUGAACAUCUUCACUGUUGUCCUUGGAGCGAAAUAGCAAUUAAAAGUGCCUAUUCCACAAAUUACCUAUUCGUGAACGAGUCAGCAGAAGACAAAUUUUAUACCGGCUUUAUGGAAUUUUAUCUUGCUUUAUGUUUGGUGCAGGUAUUCGUGAAAGGAAUUCCAAGGGCACUAGUAUCUGAACCUCGAAAGGACGGUCAACGCACCAUGGUUUUCUUUGUGCGAUUCAGCCGCAUUUCUAAAUCGUUUCAACGUACAUUGAGAAGCGGCGAGUUCAAUUCUGGAGACAUGAAGAACGCCCACAGAGAAUCAGCAGCAUCUACUUUCGACAAUCCAACAUGUCUAGUAGUUUUUGUUAGGUUUGGUAGAUUAGAAGAAUGAAAAAAUUGUUAUUGAAAACUGACUAUUUUACAAGAAAUUAUUUUAAUAUCUAAACAAAAUAUUUUCUCAUCUCAGAAAUGAUUUAUACAAUUGAAAAAAAACAAAUGCAAUCAUAAUGAGAUCAUAUGCAUUUCUAACCUGCAACAGCUAUAAGAUAGAUCACGCCUCUUCGAAAGGAAUAUAAUUACCGAUUGGAAAAGAAAAUCACAGGAUAUCCCGGAUGACGAAGCUGAAUCGAUCGUUAAAGAUGGAGAGAUUAAGUUGAAUGUUCCAAACAAAGGAUCUCGAACUGGACAAUGGCUUCUUUCCUUCUCGAUACUUCUAGUGAUCUUUGUCGCUAAAAGAGAGAGUGAA
rnacentral:misc_RNA from 1 species